GGUAAGGUGGGGCGGGGAGCGGCGGGAGUGUGGGGGGGGGGGGUGUUGGUUGGAAGUAUUGGGAGUAAAGGGUGGUGGGGCGGUUUGGUAAGUGUUGGGGGAAAUCUACAGGCGCAACUUGUAGUCUGCACGAGAAACUGCCGGGAUUGAGUAUGGGAGAGGGGAGUGGAAUUCCUGGUGUAGCGGUGAAAUGCGUAGAUAUCAGGAGGAACACCUGUGGCGAAAGCGGCUCACUGGACCAUAACUGACGCUGAUGCACGAAAGCUAGGGGAGCAAACAGGAUUAGAUACCCUUGUAGUC
rnacentral:rRNA from 1 species